rnacentral:misc_RNA from 1 species
GUGAAAUGGUAAAGAACCUAAACAUAAAACUGGCAGCAGAAACCUAUAUCCUAAGUCAAACAUAAUGUUGGCAAGAACAAGCAUAAAGUACACAAACAUAGAUGGAAGACGCCUAUUUAAUUUACAGACGCCCUUUCCAGAAGGCAAUUAAUUUGCAUGGACUGGAAUACAGAACAUGACUCGUCAUGUCAGACAUGAAAUUUGCAGGGGACGUAAGGCUGAUGCAGAUAAAUAAAGCAUAGUCCUAUAUAGGAGGCAAAGAAGAUUGGAAAAUAAAAACAUACUUAUGCAUGACAACCAUACCAGCUACAAAUUAUUGGAAUUAGGAAUUAAUUAGAUGAAAUUUGCACAAAUAUUUAGUUGAACUUAAGAUUCAUUGAAGCAUAAGUGAAACUGUAUUCUCAAGUAGGGGUGGUGACAGGUCCGGUCCAGGCAGGAACCAGCAGUUCCGUUUCAAGGUUCACAUGGAUCAAAACCGGAAUACAAGGUCCCCUGGUUUUAAUUCCGAUUACGGUCUGGUUUUGAUUAAAUCCAA